rnacentral:misc_RNA from 1 species
AUACUUUAGUGUAUAGUUCUCUUUUUUAUGAAUAAAUGAAGUCCAUCUACCUCUCUAUUAAGCAGAAUAAUAUCCAUAACACUCCCAUGAAUUUCAAUUUAAGCUAAACAUUCUUUUGUUGUCAAACAAAAUCCACUUUUGCAUUGCAUUUUGUUUCUCAAUUUUCUGGCUGAAAUGACCUAAAACCCUUGCAAACCAUCACUGGUGUUUCUUUAGUAGGCUUGGAAUGCAAUUGUUAUCAGCAAAUGAUUAAGCAGAGGAUUUACAUUUCGAAUAACUAUAGUAAAAUACAAUGCAUAACUUCAGUUUCAAGUAUGGCAAAACUUCCUGCUAAAAGAACAACAGUGUCAAAACUUCCAUUUCCAAGAUAUAGAUUACAAGCCAAUAUUUGGUUCAGAACACUCUUCUGCUGGAAGAUGAUCAUUAUGCCCAUCGCUAUCUUCCAUGCUGGCUGCCAUAGGCAGAAAGGGAUGUAAUUCUAGUUGAGGGAAUAACAGCUUCAGGCGAAAUGCAUCAACUCCAUUCAGAUAGUACCGAAAGAGCCGUUUUGCUCUAAUAAACCCAAGACGGCCAUAUAAAGCUAGUGCUCCUUUGUUUGUGACUUCUGCUUCUAAUGUCACCUCUUCACAUCCUGAUUCCAUCAUUACUUUAAUAGAUCUGGUAACAAGUUCAGUGGCAAUGCCUCUUCCACGAUAAGGUUUGAUGACAACUAACAUAGCAAUGUAGCCCCUAAAUGUAGUAUUCCUAUGCUCCCCCAUCUUGCACACUACAGUCCCCACGCAUUUACCUUUGUGAAAUGCCAAGAAAGAGAGCUGAGGCCAUAGAUAAACGAAGUAACGGUAAGUGAAGAUGGAGUAGGGCUCGCUGAGUUCUUGGUCGACGAGGCCCAUGAUUAACGGUAAGUGGUGUUCGCCUCCGUAGCUUACGUAUUCUAUCUCGGAUGCAUCGAAUUCUGCCUUUUUCUCUCUUGCUUCUUCUACUUCAUUGCUUUGCUCCAUCGUUGUUAUUUCUCUCUUACGCUCGACGUUGAGGGUUUCCUUCAGGGAGAUAGG